rnacentral:lncRNA from 1 species
UGGUGAAUUGUUUAUAUCUAUUUAUUUAAGCUCCCUUUCGCUUUUUUAUAAAUUAUUUACCCCCACAUUUCCGAGUUUUGGUAUUUUGUUCAUGAAAAGGAGUGAUUCUCUAGUUUUCAGACAAUAACCUUAAAGUGCUUUGGGCAUUUUUCGUUAAACAUUGUUGACUGAUUUAUAUCUAUUAAGAUAACCCCCCCCCCUUUUUCAUAAAUUUCUGGUAUGACAUUGAAAAGUUAUUGAACUGUAUUCUUGAAAACCGUUAGGCGUAGCAUGCGCUCUAGCUCAUGUUGUAGCUGGUUAUGAUUUUUAUGCCCCACCUACAAUAGUAGAGGGGCUUUAUGUUUUCUGGUUGUAGCGUCCGUUUGUCCGUCCUGAUGUCUGUCCCGCUUCAGGUUAAAGUUUUUGGUCAAGGUAGUUUUUGAUGAAGUUGGAAUCCGAUCAACUUGA